GCCCUUGUAGCUCAGUGGUAGAGCGCGUCACUAGUAAUGACGAGGUCGCCAGUUCAAUUCUGGUCGGGGGCA